UACGUAGGGGGCUAGCGUUGUCCGGAUUUAUUGGGCGUAAAGAGCGUGUAGGCGGCCAGGUAGGUCUGCUGUGAAAACUCGAGGCUCAACCUCGAGACGUCGGCGGAAACCAUCUGGCUAGAGUCCGGAAGAGGAGAGUGGGAUUCCUGGUGUAGCGGUGAAAUGCGCAGAUAUCAGGAGGAACACCGGUGGCGAAGGCGGGUCUCUGGGCCGAUACUGACGCUGAGGAGCGAAAGCGUGGGGAGCGAACAGG
rnacentral:rRNA from 1 species